UGGCUCAGAACGAACGCUGGCGGCAGGCCUAACACAUGCAAGUCGAGCGAACCCUUCGGGGUUAGCGGCGGACGGGUUAGUAACGCGUGGGAAUAUACCCUUUGGUACGGAAUAGCCUCGGGAAACUGAGAGUAAUACCGUAUGUNCCCUUCGGGGGAAAGAUUUAUCGCCAAAGGAUUAGCCCGCGUUGGAUUAGAUAGUUGGUGGGGUAAUGGCCUACCAAGUCUACGAUCCAUAGCUGGUUUGAGAGGAUGAUCAGCAACACUGGGACUGAGACACGGCCCAGACUCCUACGGGAGACAGCAGUGGGGAAUCUUAGACAAUGGGCGCAAGCCUGAUCUAGCCAUGCCGCGUGGACGAUGAAGGCCUUAGGGUUGUAAAGUCCUUUCAGAUGGGAAGAUAAUGACGGUACCAUCAGAAGAAGCCCCGGCUAACUCCGUG
rnacentral:rRNA from 1 species